rnacentral:ncRNA from 2 species
AUGAUGCAAGGGAAUGAAGUUCUCCCUUAGUGAAUGAUAUUGGAACAUAAAAUAACCAAACACUAGAACCGCUUAAUGCUGAUGACUUCUGCUAUAAA